AAACAAGGAAGGAGAUGCUGGUGGGUAGUAUGCAUCUUUUUUCACCUGAAUAGCUAGAAAUGGACGAAUCAAUUAUCAAAGAGAAUACCAAAGAAUUGAGAAGGAACAAGAAAGAAAGAAAAAAAGACAGGAGACAAUGUGCAAAAAGUGCAAGUGAAGGAAAGCAAAGGAAAGAAAAUAUAUUUUUUCUUUGGACGAUUUGUGGAAGACACAAAACAAUCUCAAGAAGAGAGCGACUGUUAUCUACUGGAUAUCUGAGCAAAGGGCCAAAAAAGCACAAGAAAUCCCAAUGAUAGAUUCACCUCAUCUUCA
rnacentral:misc_RNA from 1 species